rnacentral:rRNA from 1 species
UACGAAGGGGGCUAGCGUUGCUCGGAAUCACUGGGCGUAAAGCGCACGUAGGCGGCUUGUUAAGUCAGGGGUGAAAUCCUGGAGCUCAACUCCAGAACUGCCUUUGAUACUGAAGAUCUUGAGUUCGGGAGAGGUGAGUGGAACUGCGAGUGUAGAGGUGAAAUUCGUAGAUAUUCGCAAGAACACCAGUGGCGAAGGCGGCAUCCUGGACCAAUUCUGACGCUGAGUGAGCGAAAGCCAGGGGAGCAAACGGG